GGAAUUCGCACUGUGGGAGAGUGAAUUAAUGUGUCGGAUCCUCUGAAGCUGAUUUUUUUCUCAUAGUCCAGAAUGCAGCACAAUAUCGAUUUUGCAUCAUUGAUCUAGGAUUUGUUGUGUAUGUCGUCACAACUUUCCUUUCUUUCUCAAUCACGAAGCCGUAAUGCAAAAUAAUUUUCUUCACAUCUUCUAAACUUGGUUCAAUGGACAUUUCAUCUUCUUGAC
rnacentral:misc_RNA from 1 species